rnacentral:rRNA from 1 species
AUUGAACGCUGGCGGCAGGCCUAACACAUGCAAGUCGAACGGUAGCACAGAGAGCUUGCUCUCGGGUGACGAGUGGCGGACGGGUGAGUAACGUCUGGGAAACUGCCCGAUGGAAGGGGAUAACUACUGGAAACGGUAGCUAAUACCGCAUAACGUCGCAAGACCAAAGUGGGGGACCUUCGGGCCUCACACCAUCGGAUGUGCCCAGAUGGGAUUAGCUAGUAGGUGGGGUAAUGGCUCACCUAGGCGACGAUCCCUAGCUAGUCUGAGAGGAUGACCAGGCACACUGGAGCGAAGACACGGUCCAGACUACUACGGGAGGCAGCGGUGGGGAAUAUUGCACAAUGGGCGCAGGCCUGAUGCAGCCAUGCCGUGUGGAUGAAGAAGGCCUUCGGGUUGUAAAGUACUUUCAGCGGGGAGGAAGGCGGUGAAGUUAAUAACUUCACCGGUUGACGUUACCCGCAGAAGAAGCACCGGCUAACUCCGUGCCAGCCGCCGCAGUAA